UUUCCCGUAAGGCGCCGAAUGAGUCAUUAAAAAAUUAACAUCAUCCGAUCCCUAGUCGGCAUAGUUUAUGGUUAAGACUACGACGGUAUCUGAUCGUCUUCGAUCCCCUAACUUUCGUUCUUGAUUAAUGAAAACAUCCUUGGCAAAUGCUUUCGCAGUAGUUAGUCUUCAAUAAAUCCAAGAAUUUCACCUCUGACAAUUGAAUACUAAUGCCCCCAACUAUCCCUAUUAAUCAUUACGUCAAUCCUAGAAACCAACAAAAUAGGAUCAAACGUCCUAUUUCAUUAUUCCAUGCUAAUGUAUUCAAGCGUUAGCUUGCUUUAAACACUCUAAUUUUUUCAAAGUAACAGUCCUGUUUCCCUGCAACACCAAAUUAAUGACAUUACAGUUCUUCAGAAAGGAGGAAUCAGCGAAACCAGUGCGUACCAGAGGCACGACCAACCUGCUGACCCCGAAAUUCAACUACGAGCUUUUUAACUGCAACAACUUUAAUAUACGCUAUUGGAGCUGGAAUUACCGCGGCUGCUGGCACCAGACUUGCCCUCCAA
rnacentral:rRNA from 1 species